GUAGAGAUGUGGCAUAUAAGCUGAGACAAAAAUUGCAACGGAAAUUUUCUUAGGGAAGUUCUCCAUGGCUAGUGAAAUACAGAGGCCACCAUAGCUGGGACCAACCAAAACCACUUUCUUAUCCUGAGGAAGUGAAUCCAUGAACUCCAUUUGUGGGUGCACGUGAUCCGAAAUAGAAGAAAUCUCAUCGAGCUGCUUCAUAUCAACCCCACAAGCACCAAGGUCCAAGGCAGUGACCUGGUGACCAACAAGUUUAAGUAUGUUCACAAGCUUGUACCAGCACCAAGCUCCAUGAACAAAAACAAA
rnacentral:misc_RNA from 1 species